AAGCUUGGUUAUCUUUUUUUCUCCCUGGACUGUGUGUAAAGGGGGAUGUUGGACAAGUUGGGCCACCAGGACCACAAGGUAUCAAAGGAGAUCAAGGUGAUAAAGGUGAAAAGGGCAGUCCUGGAUUUGGAAUCCCCGGUCAGCCUGGUCCCAAAGGAGAGAGUGGAGAAAGAGGUAAUGUUGGAUUAUCAGGGAAACCUGGGCCUAAAGGCAGCGAUGGGUCCAAAGGAGAGAAAGGGGAGGUGGGCUUCCCAGGCAACCCUGGUUCUCCAGGACUAAGAGGUAAAGAUGGUCUGCCAGGACCGAUAGGAGAGAUGGGAUUGAGGGUGAGAAUCAACAACAAGCACAGAGAGA
rnacentral:lncRNA from 1 species